rnacentral:rRNA from 1 species
GACGAACGCUGGCGGCGUGCCUAAUACAUGCAAGUCGAACGAUAGCGACCGGUGCUUGCACUGGUCAAUCUAGUGGCGAACGGGUGAGUAACACGUGGGUAACCUGCCCAUCAGAGGGGGAUAACAUUCGGAAACGGAUGCUAAAACCGCAUAGGUCUUCGAACCGCAUGGUUGGAAGAGGAAAAGAGGCGCACGCUUCUGCUGAUGGAUGGACCCGCGGUGCAUUAGCUAGUUGGUGAGGGAACGGCUCACCAAGGCCGUGAUGCAUAGCCGCCCUGAGAGGGUGAUCGGCGACAUUGGGGCUGAGACACGGCCCAAACGCCUACGGGAGGCAGCAGUAGGGAAUCUUCCGCAAUGGACGCAAGUCUGACGGAGCAACGCCGCGUGAGUGAAGAAGGUGUUCGGAUCGUAAAACUCUGUUGUUAGAGAAGAAUAAGUGCUAGAGUAACUGUUAGCGCCUUGACGGUAGCUAACCAGAAAGCCACGGCCAACUACGUG